UCGGGUGAGCGAAAGAGAGGAAAUAGUGGGGAAGCACCAACCGAAAGAGGGGACAAAAAAAGGGGGGAAUGAAGUGGUUGAAACGAACAGAACUACUGCAAGGAAGGAGGAAAAUGAAAACGAGAGUUGGAAUCCGACGUGGUGAUCACCAGACGGGCCAAAGCCGUAUUUAAAUCCGAAUCGAUUGAAGCCCGAAAGGUCUCCCUCUGGUCGGUGACGUGAUCUCAGCUCCACCGCCACUACCCUGUCCUUUCUUCCUCUCUCCCUCCCUCCUUCCCUGCUUCUCAGGGAAUCAUUCUUUUUCUCUUGGCGGGGAACAGCGACGGCUAUCUACUUCGAUCCCUUUAUCUAGAGGAAUCUCAAUGCUUCUAAUUUUUUAUAAAAUUGUAGGUUUUGAUUUACCUCGGAGGUAGUGUCCACAAGGAUCGGCGUUGGAUUUGUUUCCGAGCUGCUGCGAGGCUGCAAACAGUUGUUCAUUGUUGGAAUUCUGGGUUUGUUGCUGUCCUAUGUAGGCAGUGUAAGAACUGCUUCCUCGCUUCGAUCUCAUCUAUGAAUAAUCAUGCAUCCAGACAAGACAGGUAUAGAGAGGAGCUGUGAGGACAGUGAAAGGCAUCGUGAGAAGGUCCUUCCUAAUGGUGAUGUCUAUGUUGGAAACUUUGAUGGGUUAUUUCCUCAUGGGACGGGAAAAUAUAUAUGGUCAGAUGGAACACUCUAUGAGGGAGAAUGGGAGAAAAGCAAAAUGACUGGCAGAGGACGGAUUUACUGGCCAUCUGGGGCCACAUAUGAAGGUGACAUCUGUGGAGGUUUCCUUCAUGGUUCUGGCACUUUUUAUGGGCUUGAUGGCUCUGUUUACAAAGGGUCUUGGAGGAUGAACAUACAGCAUGGAAUGGGAACUAAAACAUAUCCUAAUUCGGGUAUUUAUGAGGGUCUUUGGAAGGAAGGAUUGCAAGAAGGUAUUGGUAGAUACACAUGGAGUAACAGAAACACUUAUAUUGGAAACUGGAAAGCUGGAAAAAUGAGUGGCAGAGGAGUUAUGAAGUGGGAAAAUGGUGAUUUAUUUGAUGGUGUUUGGUUGGAUGGAUUAAAGCAUGGCUCGGGUUACUACAAGUAUGCAGACGGGGCAUAUUAUUUUGGAACAUGGAGUAGGGGCCUAAAGGAUGGGCGGGGAAUUUUUUAUGCAGCUGGAAGCAAACUACCUAAGCAGAAGUUUUCUGAAUCUGUGGUAUGUAAUGAUGGAGCUCAAAGUCUUUGUCCUGCUUCACUGAUGAGUUCUGAAGGACUCAGGAAUAAACCAUUGCAUAAGAAAAGAUACAGUUUUGAUGGAUGGAAUACAAGUAGUUAUUUCUGUCGUUCUGGACGAAUAUCCCAUAGGCCUGUGUCAUUUGAAGGAAUUUGGAAUCUUAGUGAUUCUGCUGGUAGCGUUUUAUCACAAGACAGUUCCCUCACAUUGUCCUCUUCAUCUGAUGAAGGUCAGCAUAAGCUCCAGCAUGACAAUGUUUUGGUUUAUGAAAGGGAAUAUGCGCAAGGAAUAUUAAUAAUGGAAAGAACAAGAAGUUCUGAUUCUGGUGUAAAACGCAAAACAAAAUGGCACCAUAAGAUUCAAAGAAAACAACCAAGUGGGCCAGGUGAAGCUAUUCACAAAGGUCACAAGAGCUAUUAUCUGAUGCUUAACUUACAACUUGGAAUUAGGUAUACAGUCGGAAAAAUCACACCUGUGCCUAUGCGUGAAGUUCGUUCCUCCGAUUUUGGACCAAGAGCUAGAAUACAGAUGUACUUCCCUAGCAAGGGUUCCCAGUUCACACCUCCACAUCACUCCAUUGAUUUCUUCUGGAAGGACUAUUGUCCAAUGGUUUUUAGGAAUCUUCGGGAAAUGUUUAAGAUAGAUGCUGCAGACUACAUGAUGUCCAUAUGUGGGGGUGACGAUCUGAAGGAGCUUUCUUCUCCUGGGAAAAGUGGCAGCAUAUUUUAUCUUUCACAAGAUGAAAGAUUUGUAAUCAAGACUCUAAGAAAAUAUGAACUUAAGAUUUUGUUGAAGAUGCUUCCCAAAUAUUAUAAUCAUGUCGGAAUUUAUGAUAAUACCCUGAUAACAAAAUUUUUUGGUCUUCAUACAAUAACAAUAAAAGGUGUACGGAAGGUCCGGUUUGUUGUGAUGGGAAAUAUGUUUUGCACGGGGUUGCACAUUCAUCGUCGAUAUGACUUGAAAGGUUCAUCCCAAGGAAGGUCAACAAGCAAGCAUAACAUAAAUGAAAACACGACUUUAAAGGAUCUUGAUCUGUCAUAUGUUUUCCAUUUGGAGAGGUCAUGGCGUGAUUCGCUUUUUAGACAAAUCUCUCUAGACUGCAUGUUCCUAGAAUCACAAUGUAUAAUUGAUUAUAGCAUGCUGUUGGGGCUGCAUUUUAGGGCUCCUGAACAUUUGAAGGCUCUCUUGGAAUGUCAACAUACACUUCAAAACAGUUCAAGCUCACAAGCCAACAACUCUGAUGAACCAUCGCAAGAUGAGGUCACAGUUCCACCAAAGGGUUUGCUUUUGGUUGCUCAUGAACCAGGUUCUGUGAGUACCAUGCCCGGUUCACACAUUAGAGGCAGCACAUUAAGGGCAUCUGCAGUUGGUGAUGAGGAGGUUGAUCUUAUUUUGCCUGGCACAGGAAGGUUGAGGGUGCAGUUAGGAGUUAACAUGCCAGCUCAAGCUCAUAGGAAGCUUCUUCACAAUGAAGUCCCCGAUUCAGCAGAAAUCGAUCACUUUGAGGUCUAUGAUGUCGUUCUCUAUCUUGGAAUUAUAGAUAUAUUGCAGGAGUAUGACAUGACUAAGAAAAUUGAGCAUGCCUAUAAAUCACUGAAGUUUGAUCCCCUGUCCAUCUCCACAGUUGAACCUAAGCUGUAUUCCAAACGUUUCAUUAGUUUCUUGGAGAAAGUUUUCCCUGAGCAGAUUUGAGUUGGGAAAAUUAUAAUGCAGCAAGUUAUCAAUCAUUCCAUGGUUUGCUGGAGUCGUAUUUCAUAGCCAAACUGAGAAAAGCAUAGGAGUCAGUCCAGAAUUUUCCAUGUAUUGUACCACGUACCAGCAUUACUUUUCAUUAUUUUUUUAUUCAUUCUCUAUUCACUGCUCAGCUGUUCAACUGGCUGCGGAUGGAGAUCUGGUCUGAAUCUUCCAGGAGAAUGGUCUUCCCUGCUACCAAAUGACUGAUUUGAGUAAAACUGGCAACUAGCCAAAAGGGUUGACGGUAUCUGGACAGAGUCAAGGUCUUAAACUGCUCCAUAUUACUUUCAGGACCACUGGAAAAUUGGCAUGCAAAUUAUGGUGAUGGAGAGGAGCUAAUGGGUGAGAAACCUAGAUAUCCUGCUGCAGAUUAAUGUGAUGUGGCUUCGUAAUUCAUCUUAUGAUAAGCAACUUUUUGACUGCUAUAAUUGACCAUCUCUUAUUUUCAAAAUGAUUAAAAUGUGCUACGAGUUAUGCCAUAUUCAAACCUUAUAUGGAAUUUAUACUACCCAAUCUCAUAUUUACACACAAAAAAAAAA